CAGUGCAGUCACCCAUAAAGUAGAAAGCACUACUAACAGCACUGGAGGGUGUAGUGUUUCCUACUUUAUGGAUGAGUGUACUGU
rfam:Homo sapiens chromosome 17, GRCh38 reference primary assembly.